AUUGAACGCUGGCGGCAGGCCUAACACAUGCAAGUCGAGCGGAGCGGCGGACGGGUGAGUAAUGACUAGGAAUCUGCCUGGUCGUGGGGGAUAACGUCCGGAAACGGGCGCUAAUACCGCAUACUAUCAGAUGAGCCUAGGGCGGGUUAGCUAGUUGGUGGGGUAAAGGCCUACCAAGGCGACGAUCCGUAACUGGUCUGAGAGGAUGAUCAGUCCCACUGGAACUGAGACACGGUCCAGACGCCUACGAGAGGCAGCAGUGGGGAAUAUUGGACAGUGGGCGAAAGCCUUAUCCAGCCAUGCCGCGUGUGUGAAGAAGGUCUUCGGUUUGUAAAGCACUUUAAGUUGGGAGGCGUUACCUACAGAAUAAGCACCGGCUAACUUCGUGCCAGCAGCCGCGGUAAUUC
rnacentral:rRNA from 1 species